rnacentral:rRNA from 1 species
GGAAACGGUGGCUAAUACCGGAUGUGCCCUUGGGUGAAAGGUUAACUGCCUACAGAUGACCUCCCGUCUGAUUAGCUAGUAGGUAGUGUAAUGGACUACCUAGGCGACGAUCAGUAACUGGUCUGAUAGGACGAUCAGCCACACUGGGACUGAGACACGGCCCAUACUCCUACGGGAGGCAGUAGUGGGGAAUUUUCCGCAAUGGGCCAAAGCCUGACGGAGCAAUACCGCUUGAGGGAGGAAGGGUCUUGGGUCGUAAACCUCUUUUCUCAGGGAAGAACACCAUGACCGGACCUGGGGAAUAACCCUCGGAUAACUCCGUGCCAACCCCCGAGGUUAUACCGGAGAUGCAAGCGUUAUCCGGAAUGAUUGGGCCUAAAGCGUCCGCAGGUGGCCAUGUAACUCUGCUGUUAAACAGUCUAGCUCAACUAGAUCAAAGCAGUGGAAACUACAUAUCCUAGACUACGUUCGGGGCACAGGGAAUUCCUGGUGUACCGGUCAAAUGCGUANAUAUCACGAAGACCCCCGGUUGCGGAAGGCGCCCUGCUACGCCGNGGCUGAUCCUGAGGGACCAAACCUAUG